UUUUACAGCUGUGUCUGAAGGGACAACUCCACCAACUCCUACCUUGGAUGCUGCACAAAAGCCCAGCUCCCAUGGCAGGGGUCCACCCACAGGAGAGACCAAAGACAUGGCAGGCAAGAAAUUCCAGGACCCAUUAGAAAUCGUGUGGCAAAUGCUGAAGGAACGUCUGCAGAAAAGACAAGAGAUGGACAUAGUGCUUCAGUGGAAGGUGGCAUUUCUUGAAGGAAGCACUCCAUCUUCGGUGCCAGCCCCUGCUGCAGGAAGGAAGGCAAAGCCAGACACGGGCACAGGCACAGCAG